CUGGAGGAAAAAUGGAAUUUGUAUUGUUGUGUAUCUUGAUGACGGAUGGGGUAUACGUUUAGAUUUUGACACCUGUAAAGGUCAUUCAGAUUUCGUCAGACAGAGUCUUGUAUUUGCUGGUUUUGUAGCUAAUGAUGGAAAGUCUAUUUGGCAACCCACGCAAAGAUUAGAAUGGUUAGGGAUUAAUUGCGAUCUGGUUAUAAACGCUACAUCAAUUCCUAUAAGGAGGCUAGAUAGUCUUACUCAAGUUCUUAGGAAGAUCUCUACCCCCGGGUGUGUGGUGACAGCACGUCAAGUAGCUAGUGUCACGGGCAAAAUCAUAUCCAUGUCCCCUGUCUUGGGUAAUAUAACUCGAUUGAUGUCUAGGUAUUUAUACAGGUUGGUCGAGAAAAGGUCGUCUUGGGAUUCCGCUUUCGUGAUAGACAAAGAUAACGAAUGUUGGAGUGAAAUGAAGUUCUGGCUUUCUAAUGUUAACUCUCUCAAUUUGAAGUAUAUAAGCAAUCGUAUCCAAAAAAGUAAAUGUGUCGUAUACUCUGAUGCGAGUAGUCAUUCUUGUGGAGCUUAUGUAGUGGAAGUUGACAAUGCAGUAUUUCAUCAAACUUGGUCGUAUGAAGAGUCUCUCAAAAGCUCAACAUGGAGGGAGCUCUAUGCUAUUCAGUUAGCUAUGUCAGAAUUUCGAGAUAUAUUGAGAGGUCAAAUAAUCACAUGGUAUACUGAUAAUCAAAAUUGUGUCAGAAUUAUUGAGAGCGGAAGUUCGGUGUUAGAGCUUCAAGUUUUAGCCUUGAAAGUUUUCCAGUUAGGUAUCUCUCUUAAUUUGUCGCUUAAAGUUGAAUGGAUCCCUCGGUCUGACAAUGAGAAAGCUGAUUACAUCAGUAAGAUCAUAGACUAUGAUGAUUGGGGUAUAUCAAAAGAUUUUUUCGAGUUUUUGAAUGAUAUGUGGGGCCCACAUACUGUGGACCGAUUUGCUAAUCAUUUCAAUUCUAAAACAUUGAGAUACAACUCAAGGUUCUGGUACGCUGAUUCUGAAGCAGUUGAUGCGUUUUCCCAAGAUUGGUCGAAUGACAAUAAUUGGCUUGUUCCUCCUGUAUAUUUAGCUCCUAGGGUGAUAAAAUACAUGAUAGAUUCACGAUCUUCUGGUACGUUAGUGCUUCCCAAGUGGAUUUCGGCCCCCUUUUGGCCCUUACUUUUCGGUGAUCACCUAGAAACCCAAACCUGUAUAAGCGACAUUCUUGUUUUCACUGAAAGUGACCGCAUUUUCGUACCGGGAUCACACAAAUCGCUGUUUAAUUCAGUUGAUUUUAAGGGGCACGUGCUUGUAGUACGUUUUGAUUAUCAACAAUAAGUUGUAGCCAGGUGAUUGGUUAGUGGUGAUUGUGAGUGCGUGAUCAGCUAGAAGGACUGUGAUUGGCUGACACGACACACCCACUUACUAUCAAUCGUAUGUAGUUGUAGUUUUGUUCACUCAUGUGGAACCGACAAGGCCACUUGCAUUGACUCGAGAUGUAUAUAUUGUUGUGCGGCCACUUGGACAUUGACAUGAAGCAUGUAUUGUUACAAUUGAUGCCACUUGGCUUUUGACUGAAAAUUACUUUGAGGCCACUUGGCUGUUGAAAUGAAUAAUUAGCUUUUUUGUUUGAUUAUGUCAUGAAAAUAUCAUGAGGCCACUUGGCAUUUGAUAUGAAUAUACGAGGAGGCCACUUGGCUUUUGAUAAUAGUGUACAUGUACACUUUUUAGAUAAUUGAUGUUUAGAGUAUAUUUAUUGGAUUUACUCAGCUUGUGGACACAUGAAGGUUAAUUUGUUGUUGUUGUUUUUUUUAUAAUUUUUUAGUGGUGAUCAUAAUGAAAUAAAUGUUGUUGAUUAGAGUUUGUUUACACGUUACAGAUAUUUUCUCGAAUGGUAUUUGGAAGGAGCGUUCCUUAAUAAAAGACGGUAGUCUACGUAGUCUGGCUUCUGACCUACACGACUUCGUGCUAAAAUCAAGGGCAGAUUCUACCAGUAAAGUUUACCAAAGGCGAUUUAAAAAAACCUUUAUUGGACGGACACAACAUGGAUGUUUGUAACAUUCCGAAGUCGGAUUGAAGCGAAGACACAAUGGGAAAGUGAUGGACUCUGUGCUUGUGAUUUAUUGUUAUAUCUAAAGUGAAUAAAGUACGUCCUCAUAUAGCUAGGCGGACUAACUCCCA